CCUACGGGGGGCAGCAGUCGAGAAUCAUUCACAAUGGGGGAAACUCUGAUGCUGCGACGCCGCGUGGGGGAAUGAAGGUCUUCGGAUUGUAAACCCCUGUCAUGUGGGAGCAAAUUAAAAAGAUAGUACCACAAGAGGAAGAGACGGCUAACUCUGUGCCAGCAGCCGCGGUAAUACAGAGGUCUCAAGCGUUGUUCGGAAUCACUCGGCGUAAAGCGUGCGUAGGCUGUUUCGUAAGUCGUGUGUGAAAGGCGCGGGCUCAACCCGCGGACGGCACAUGAUACUGCGAGACUAGAGUAAUGGAGGGGGAACCGGAAUUCUCGGUGUAGCAGUGAAAUGCGUAGAUAUCGAGAGGAACACUCGUGGCGAAGGCGGGUUCCUGGACAUUAACUGACGCUGAGGCACGAAGGCCAGGGGAGCGAAAGGGAUUAGAUACCCGGGUAGUC
rnacentral:rRNA from 1 species